GAGAAAAAAGAAGGAAGAAUUAAGGGUUGGAUGAAGG
rnacentral:sRNA from 1 species